rnacentral:rRNA from 1 species
GUCAUACCUUGAUGGCAUGAAAAUAAACGUGGACAGUAAUGUAAUACACUAAUUGCAGUGAAAUGUCAACAUUAACUAAUAUUACACUUGACAAAUCAAACACUAAACAAAAACAAGGAUUAGAUACCCUUUUAUUUAGUGCCUAUUUUAACUGGCCGAGUAUUAGAACCCCCAAGGUCCAAACUCAAACAACAUGGCGGUAACUUUAACUUAGGGGAACUUGUUCGAUAAAUGAUAACCCCCAAGGUUAAUCAAUUUUGGGUAACUCUUGUAUGCCGCCGUCAGCAGACAAAUCUAGAGGCUUUGUCUUUAACAACCCCUUGCACAGGACAGGUCUAGGUGCAGACCAUCUCAAAAUCGUUAUGAGUUACUAUUUCGCAGCGAACCCUACAUAUGUAGGUCUCAAAGGAGGACUUAACAGUAACACAUAUUACUUAUGCUGCGUGAACUAAUUAAGUUGUGCACAA